rnacentral:rRNA from 1 species
GACGAACGCUGGCGGCGUGCUUAACACCUGCAAGUCGAACGGUAAGGCCCUUCGGGGUACACGAGUGGCGAACGGGUGAGUAACACGUUGGUGAUCUACCCUGCACUUCGGGAUAAGCCUGGGGAACUGGGUCUAAUACCGGCUCGGACCACUGCCUGCAUGGGUGGUGGUGGAAAGCUUUUGCGGUGUGGGAUGGGCCCGUGGCCUAUCAGCUUGUUGGUGAGGUGAUGGCCUACAAAGGCGGCGACGGGUAGCCGGCAUGGUGAGAGGGCGACCCGCCACACUGGGACUGAGAUACGGCCCAGACUCCUACGGGAGGCAGCAGUGGGGAAUAUUGCACAAUGGGCGCAAGCCUGAUGCAGCGACGCCGCGUGAGGGAUGACGGCCUUCGGGUUGUAAACCUCUUUCAGCACCGACGAAGCGCAAGUGACGGUAGGUGCAGAAGAAGGACCGGCCAACUACGUGCCAGCCGCCGCAGUAA